UGGUUUUGGUGUCUGUGAUGGUCAGAGAUCCAUUCUGAUGAUCCAGCUUCAGUCUGUCUCCGAAUCUCUCAUCACACUGAUCAACUGAACAGAUCUUACUCUGAUCUCCAGAG